UACAGAGGAGCCAAGCGUUGUCCGGAUUGACUGGGCGUAAAGCGUGCGCAGGCGGUUUUGUAAGUCUGUCGUGAAAUCCCCGGGCUCAACCUGGGAAUUGCGAUGGAGACUGCAAGGCUAGAGUUUGGCAGAGGGGGGUAGAAUUCCACGUGUAGCAGUGAAAUGCGUAGAUAUGUGGAGGAACACCGAUGGCGAAGGCAGCCCCCUGGGUCAAGACUGACGCUCAUGCACGAAAGCGUGGGGAGCAAACAGG
rnacentral:rRNA from 1 species